UUCAGUCAGAGUUGAAGAAGCUUCAUGGAUGAGAAGCGAAACGUAUUCAAAGAAAAAUCAGAAAGUCCAGUUGCCUCUUGCAAAAAAAAAAAACACCUUUGAGACAAGUAGCCAAAAAAGUUAUCGCUUAUGAGACUUAUAUGGACUCGGUUAUAGAGGCUAUGAAUGCCCAGCUGAGAGACCUGAAAAAACAAGUGAGGAAGAGAUCUAUCCGGGUAGUUCUUAGGAAUCAAAAACGACUUGAUGUCACAUCAUCUUCAGUUACCAGUUGCAUUAAAUCCGCUGAAAAAAAUGACUGGAGCUAACAGAAUACAAAGUUCAUCUAUCAAGCGGUCUGAUGCUCUCUCAUAUGACAGAUUACUUGUGGUUUUUAAGGCGUCAGCAUAUGGAGUACCAUUUAAAGUGGAUGUGGUUCAUGCCAAAUUGUUAGCCUUUAGGAUAUCAUGUGAUAUGUGAUCAACUGAAGUUUAGUUAUCUGUCAGAUGUCUGGAAAUGUUUGCUUUAUUAAUUCAAUUUAUAGAUCACUUACUCAAUGUAUGAUUUUGAGUGACACUCAAACAAGUUAAUCAAUAAAGCAUCUACAAGCUCCCAAAUCUGAGGUAUCUGUAUACUGUAUCAACAACUUCCCAAACUUGCUCAUAUUCCAUGGAUAUCCUGGUACCAGUAGGAAACUACCUGUCCCCAAAUUCAGAGGAAUAGCUGCAGACUUAUUUGUUUUUACUAGAAUCAGGAACCAUUUAUUUUUGCUCUGCAUCACCCCUGCUUCAGGAGCAAAUACCAGUCUGAUGGAAGGGGUGUGAACUUGUCUGUAGAAGUGCGGAGGCAAUACAAUUGAAUAAACAGAGGCUUGGGAUGCCAUCUGCCCUAAGGAAACUUUUCCCAAGCUGUCCUGGACAUUUUGUGCAACUGGCAAAUAAUACAUUCAGAAUAUUAGUGAAUUAAAAUAAUUAGCCGUUUCCAGGAUUUGGGAGAGUGUACCUCCUUGUUCUGACCAUUAUAUAGAUGAAAAUAGGAAAAAAACUGCUUUUACAAAAAGUUCUAUUGUCACAGCAAUAAGCAUUUCAGAAAUUUAGCAAUCUUCCUUACCAGGAGCUACAAAGGUUAGUUGAUUAUCAAGGAUAGAUCCCUGUCCAUUUCCUCCAACUUCUAACUUUCUUAAAGGAGCCAAUGGACAUGUAAACCGAAACUGCAUUGGAAUGAAGUGGACAUGUGCUAUGGUGAAUUUUUAAGUCGGGCAGGUCAGACAAACAAAAUUACUAUGUCCAAAAACCAGCAUAAAACAAUACUAUAUAUAUUGUAAAAGGUAUAAAAAUAUAAAACUAUAAUAUGAAAGGCAAGAAAUGAUUCUAUAUGGGGAGAAAUACACACAAGAUUCAUUAUAGGCAAUCCAGGCCUAAAUCAAAUUAAGAUUAAAGUAUGUUUCUAAUCUAUAUUUUUAUA